CCUACGGGAGGCAGCAGUGAGGAAUAUUGGACAAUGGGCGCAAGCCUGAUCCAGCCAUGCCGCGUGCAGGAUGACGGUCCUAUGGAUUGUAAACUGCUUUUAUACAGGAAGAAACACCUCUACGUGUAGAGACUUGACGGUACUGUAAGAAUAAGGAUCGGCUAACUCCGUGCCAGCAGCCGCGGUAAUACGGAGGAUCCAAGCGUUAUCCGGAAUCAUUGGGUUUAAAGGGUCCGUAGGCGGUUUAGUAAGUCAGUGGUGAAAGCCCAUCGCUCAACGGUGGAACGGCCAUUGAUACUGCUAGACUUGAAUUAUUAGGAAGUAACUAGAAUAUGUAGUGUAGCGGUGAAAUGCUUAGAGAUUACAUGGAAUACCAAUUGCGAAGGCAGGUUACUACUAAUUGAUUGACGCUGAUGGACGAAAGCGUGGGUAGCGAACAGGAUUAGAUACCCUGGUAGUCCACGCCGUAAACGAUGGAUACUAGCUGUUGGGAGCAAUCUCAGUGGCUAAGCGAAAGUGAUAAGUAUCCCACCUGGGGAGUACGAACGCAAGUUUGAAACUCAAAGGAAUUGACGG
rnacentral:rRNA from 1 species